ACUGACUGGGACUAGGAGAAGGCCGUACCCCGCUCUGUUAAAACGUUCCUGCGUUUCAUUGAAGAUGUGGAAGUAGCUGCAAACUCGUCUCCAUACAAUGGGCCUAUUCUCAUUCAUUGUCUGGACGGUGCUAGCAAAAGUGGUCUGUUCUGUGCGGUGUCUUUCUUAAUACAGAAGAUGACCUGUGAAGGAGAGGCCAGUGUUGUGAAUGCAGUUCGCAAGGUCAGGUGCAGGAGAACAACUGCCAUUCCAUGCAAGGAGCAGUUUCAGUUCUGCUACGAUUGUCUACUGGAGUUUGUAAACACACAUGAUGGGAGCACUUAUUACAACUUUACAUCAUCAAAUUAUAUUAUUACCUAUAGUUCUAUUUUGUAGUGUAAUUCCAUUUCUUUAUAAACUGUACUAACAGUUAAUCACGCCGGCAUUUGUACCUGUUUAUACAUUUCUAGUUUUGAGAGCAAUUGUGUCAUUCAGCUGAUCUAUUUUACUACCAGAACUAACUCAGUAAUGUGGAAGACGCCAUUGCUGUGAAAAAUGAGUUUUUAAUAUCGAAUAGUGUAUUGUUUAUAUUUUGCAUAUUGUAAAUAGUUUGCUUUAACAAUAAUCAGAUUUUAUUAUAAAUAACUAAAAAUGCAACUUUAAAUAUAUCAGAUUUUACAGAGUAGUUAUUAAUACGUUUUAAUAAUAUGCUUUCUGGUGUUUUUUCAGAAAUUUGCCGGUGAAAAAACAUGAUAUUGAAGUUUUUAAAACAGUCAAAAUAUCAUUUUAAAUUCCUUCGAAAGUUAGGCCCGCUUGAAAACACGUCAAAAUUAAACGUCUAUGCUUAGUCACAAUUACCACGAACUCAUUUCUGAAAUUGGCUGUUCUGUAAAUUCAAAUUUCAUUUGGUAUUCAUGGAAAAUAAGCAGGAAAAUGAAAAUAUAGAAUAUUUUAG